rnacentral:rRNA from 1 species
UGGGGAAUUUUGGACAAUGGGGGAAACCCUGAUCCAGCCAUCCCGCGUUUGCGAUGAAGGCCUUCGGGUUGUAAAGCACUUUUGGCAGGAAAGAAACGUCAUGGGUUAAUACCCCGUGAAACUGACGGUACCUGCAGAAUAAGCACCGGCUAACUACGUGCCAGCAGCCGCGGUAAUACGUAGGGUGCAAGCGUUAAUCGGAAUUACUGGGCGUAAAGCGUGCGCAGGCGGUUCGGAAAGAAAGAUGUGAAAUCCCAGAGCUUAACUGUGGAACUGCAUUUUUAACUACCGGGCUAGAGUGUGUCAGAGGGGGGUGGAAUUCCGCGUGUAGCAGUGAAAUGCGUAGAUAUGCGGAGGAACACCGAUGGCGACGGCAGCCUCCUGGGAUAACACUGACGCUAAUGCACGAAAGCGUGGGGAGCAAACAGG